UAUUACUAUAUUUUUUUUUAUAAGUACCAAUAGAAAAUACUCCAAUUUGUAUUCAGUAAAUAACCUAACCUUCAACAAUCGUUAGGAUUUCGGGCCCGUUUAUUUUUCCAAGUCCGUAUACGCGAAGUUAUAAUAUAAUAUUAAACUAUAAUAUUUGAACAAGGAUUUGUGUUUCGAUUCGUAUCAGAUCUGCAGUGCUCAUUUUAUACUUUCAGGUUAAGUCUUUUAGAUUCUGAGUGAAACAAUGGACUUAUUGAUUUUACAAUGACGUGUGUUAUUUUUGUGUACCUAUGCGUACAAGUUUUAUAGCAAAAAAAUGAUUCAGUCUUCAUUUCUAAGGGUCAAGGGUGAUUUCUGAUAGGAAAUUGUAUUUGGUCGGAGCCCAUUGAGAAAGCUAUAUUGAAAUUUAUUUUUACCUACCUGUCAUCGUUUAUCUAUUAUCUGCAGUUAGAACUUGCGAAAUAGUUCAAUAAUUCCAUGAGAUCUAUUCUUUGUAGAGAUUUUAAAAAUUGAUUAUAAGUGCCAUCUGAAAAAUUAUUCUUCUCAUUAUCGAAAAUAGUUUUUUUUGUUUAAGAAGCUGGUGAUUGUAGUUUGUUUUUUUUUUAAUAUAAGUUCCUAGUGUAUAAUUUUUUUAAAUUUUUUUGUCUUCUGAAAUGUAUUUGCCUGCGGACAUAUCACUUUUUUAAGAAUUCAACUAUUCAUUUUUUUGUAGAGAUUUUUUAAUUAUUAAUAAAUUGGUGGCCUCUGCAGUAUUAUCAUUCUUUAAUGAGCUAAUUAUUAUGCUUAGUUUUUUCUGUUUAAGAAUCUGGGGGCCUAUUCUCAAAUCAAUCGAAAAGAUCGAUCGAAUGGCUCUCUCUUUUCGAUCAAAAAAGUCUAUUCGAUUGCUGGUUUUCGAUCUAGUGUAUAUCGAGUGUAUUCUCAGACGGUGAUCGAAUAUUGUAAAUCGUAAAUAUUAUUUUCAAUCGGUUUUUCGAUUAUCCUCAAUUCACUUAUACCUAAAAACAGUUGAUAUUCCAUGAAAUAAAACAUUUUAUCGGCUACAUUUUGAUAUUACAAGUUUCAUCACUUAUUAGUUUAUUGCUAUAAUAGUAUAUAAUAUAAUAGCCUCACUGGCUUCUCCCUCCGGGGGAUUCGCUGUCUUACUUGUGUGUAUAUUUUAUGUUAUAUACCUAAUGUAGCUUAUGGUACAGAUUAUAUAUACCGUCUUAAAAACAAAAAUGCUGGUUCAUUAAUUACAUAAUAAAUUCUAUAAAAAAUGUAACGCUAACCCUAACUUAAUCGUAAAACGUAGGUACCUAUUUUGUUUUCGUUUUACUUUCGGGUAGUUAAAUAAAUUAUCAAAAUGUCUGUGUUGCAUGGGUUACAGUAUUAUUAUCACGUACCUAUAUACAGUUAUUAAAGUCGAAAAUUGCCCAGAUUUCAUUAGUCAGCAUAAUAUAUGAAUACAUAAUACAUAAUAUGCUUCAAAUUUGGUUUGGCGAGGCCGGGGGAAGUGCGAGAAUGGGAGACGCCGCAAUGACUAAUGAGGUAGGUAAUGAUACACUAAGCACCGAAGAGGUGUAUAAUAUCUUGUAAAUCAUGUCCGUAUAUUAUGCAGAGUCAAUAUGUAUAUGUGUCACGCAUAAGAUACGUCAAACUAUGUCUUAAGUGACACGCAAGUCGAUUAUGCACACGGACAUUAGAGACACGACGUCGUCAGUAUGUGCUGCAGUCGGCGGCGGCCGAAAAAAAGUUCGUGUCAUUUGUGCAAUAAAUUGUGAGACAUUAUUCGGGAAACGUUCAAUAUGCAAAACUACAAAAUUACAUUGUUAUAUUAAUAGUUAUCUAACGCCUAGCCGAGAGUAAUGUCUGAUUUCGUUGUGUACAUUAUAUUUGUUACCAUAACAACGAUGUAAGUAUGAAGAAAACAAUAAUCACGAUACCUAGUCGGUCAUGAUAAACCAAGGCUGGUAUAUUUAGCUGCCAAUCGGUCGGUAUAUUAUACAUGCAAAUAGCUGCGGCCACGAUGUUCCGUUGCAAUGAUGAAUUAACUUCGUUCGAAUGUAACUACCGUCUACCGACUGAGUAUAAGGAGGAGGCAUUACGGCUUCGAACAAAAGUUUUGUAGCUUUGGAGACGUGUGUAUACGGAUCUCAAACAAUGUAAAUUUAAAAACGUGAGUAAGACACCUACCUAAAUGGCGUGGUUAUAUAAGUGUGGGCCUAUUAUGUUGUUUACAACGCUCAGUGUUGAACUCGUGAAAAUCGCGGUUGAAUAUUAUCCUAUUUUCGAGCCAUGACAAUUAUUUAUGAAUUUGAUAUUCCACUAUGUCCUAUCACACAACCUGAAGGAGAUAUAGUAUCAGACUAACGAGAUGCAAGAAAUACCAUUGCAUUUGACGCAAAUCAUAACCUCGCUCGAUCUAGAGACUCUUCUUCUACGGUCUACAUCGUGUUUAUUUAUUUAGGUAUCGAGAGGAUUUUAAACUGUUUUCCGGAGGGAAACUAUAGACCUAUAUAAUCUACAUAAUACAUUAAUAAUGUAUAUUAUGCAUUAAGUAUACAGUAAAGUUAUACUAUAUGGGUAUAGGCCAUAGACAUUCCCAUGAUGUCUCGACCGAAUAAGUAGGUAUUAAAAAUAUGCGUUUGCGUGAUAAUAUAUAGGUAUUACUCCUGCACGGAGAAAAAACCAUGACAAUACCAUAACAGCUGGACGGCAGAAAUAUAAUAAUAAUAGUAGGCAAUAGGCAUGUUAUAAUAUGGAUUUAUACGAAAAGAAAAUUGCCACGAGGCAAAUUGCCAAAUAAUAUCGUAGUAGGGCCCAGUAUAUUCUAUGAUAAUAUCACAAUAGUAGACUAAUUCACCGAGACGUGAUGUUAUUAUGGUAUAGGUAGGACGCGCAAAAUAUGUUCUACCAAUAAUUUUAUUAUUACAGCAACAAAACCGUUACGGUUCCUCGGUAUAUUGUGUGCGUGCGUAUAUUAUAACAUGCCAUCCAUUAAGAAUUCUCGCAUUAAAAAAUUAUGUUGUAAUGGCCACUGAACACUAGGUAACACGCAUUGUAUACCAGUAUACCAUAUUGUUGUACCAUCUGCAGUACUUAUUACCUACCUACUUGGAAAAUCUGCCAGAAAUUGAAAAGUAGAAUCAUUAAUUUCUUGUGAUGAGGUCUUGGCGGCAUUUUUACGAUAAUCUUUGUUUGAAUGUAAGAAGGAAUAUGCAUAAAAUAAAGCAUUAAUAAGCAUUAAAAUAAAUAACAUUUAGACAGUCAAUGAACAAAACAAAUUUAAUAUAAUUGAAAAUUGAGGUUUUUCGGAGGUGACACAAUCAUUUUGAAUUUUAUAGGUUUCCCAUGAACAACAUAGCAUCAAUUGAAAUAAUGUAAUAAUUCUUCAUAUUUAUCACAAUUAAAGAUACCAAGGUGAAUAAUUAAAUUAAAUAUGUUAGAUAAAUCAAAAUAUUUAUUCGUAUACACAAUAUACAAAUAUAUAUAUAUAUAUUAAUGAAAACAAUAUUCAUAUACAUUUCUAAAAAUAAGUCUUUUUUUUAUUGCUGGAGUGUCAAACUUAGAUAAUUAGUCAUGUAUAAUUUACUUAUAUUACGAUUUAUAAAAAAUAUAUUUCUACUAAAAUAUAUAAAUUUUAUUAGCACAAUAAAUUAUGUUCUCAAAAAUAUACAUAAAUGAUUUCGUUGAGCACAAAUUGAGCGUUGUUGUUAAAGGCCACAAUGAAAAAAACCAAAAAAUUAUAUAAACUGAAUUAAUUUGUGGAUUGAUCACAGAUAUCUCAAUUCUAAUAAUAUUAAUUAGUUGUAUUAUACAUCUUAUAUUAUGUUGUAAACAAAACUGUAAAUUUCUGUACAGGUUCAUUAAAUGUGCAAUGAUAGUAAGUUGAAAAGUAGGUAAAAUUUUGUUUCCAUAGUAUGACUAGAAUACAUCUGAUGUUUAAACAAUUUUAAAGCUCCGUAACACAAUAACAACUGAUAUUUUUUCAUUUAAAUAAUAAAUGUACAACCAUAUAUUAUAUUAUGA